UAAUACAAAGGGUGCAANCGUUGUUCGGAAUUAUUGGGCGUAAAGGGCGCGUACGCGGUGCGGUAAGUCUCUUGUGAAAUCUCCGGGCUCAACUCGGAGUCUGCAAGGGAAACUGCCGUGCUUGAGUGUGGGAGAGGUGAGUGGAAUUCCCGGUGUAGCGGUGAAAUGCGUAUAUAUCGGGAGGAACACCUGUGACGAAAGCGGCUCACUGGACCACAACUGACGCUGAGGCGCGAAAGCUAUGGGAGCNAACAGUAUUAGAUACCCUGGUAGUCCUAGCCCUAAACGACGAUCGCUUGGUGUACCCCGUACCCAAUCCUGCUGUGCCGAACCUAACGCCAUAACAAUCCGCCUGGGGGAGUUCGGUCGCAAAGCUGAAACUCCAAGGAAUUGACGGGGCCCGCACACACNGUGGAACAUGUUGUUCAAUCCACGCCACCCGAAUAACCUCUCUCUGUGCUCUCAACCGUUAUUGGAAUGAAGGUNAAAUACUUCCUUCUCGCAGAA
rnacentral:rRNA from 1 species